UUCUUAUUGGAUAAUAACUGUUAUGUGUCAUGUUCUAAUUGGAUGUCAACUCCAUAAAAGAUGAAAUGCAUUGUUGUUUUCAUUGACCAAUCAGAACAUGACACGUGACCAUUAUCAUCC
rfam:Glycine max cultivar Williams 82 chromosome 13, whole genome shotgun sequence.